UACAGAGGUCUCAAGCGUUGUUCGGAUUCAUUGGGCGUAAAGGGCGCGUAGGCGGCGGGGUAAGUCGGGUGUGAAAUCUCAGAGCUCAACUCUGAAACUGCACUCGAUACUGCUCUGCUUGAGGACUGGAGAGGAGACUGGAAUUCACGGUGUAGCAGUGAAAUGCGUAGAUAUCGUGAGGAAGACCAGUAGCGAAGGCGGGUCUCUGGACAGUUCCUGACGCUGAGGCGCGAAGGCCAGGGGAGCAAACGGG
rnacentral:rRNA from 1 species